rnacentral:rRNA from 1 species
GACGAACCGAGCGAACGUUGUUCGGAAUCACUGGGCUUAAAGGGCGCGUAGGCGGGCUGUCAAGUUUGGGGUGAAAUCCCGCGGCUCAACCGUGGAACUGCCUCAAAUACUGACGGUCUCGAGGGAGGUAGGGGCGAGCGGAACUGAUGGUGGAGCGGUGAAAUGCGUUGAUAUCAUCAGGAACUCCGGUGGCGAAGGCGGCUCGCUGGACCUCUUCUGACGCUGAGACGCGAAAGCCAGGGGAGCGAACGGG